rnacentral:rRNA from 1 species
CAAUAGCAUAUAUUAACGUUGUUGCAGUUGAAAAGCUCGUAGUUGAACUUUUGGUAGGAGCGACCUGGCCUUGGGCGCAUGCCCCUGUUUGCCGUGUGUCGUGUCUGGCCAUCCUUUUCCGCUUCGGCGGGAAUCUUUUACUGUGAGUAAACUGGAGUGCUCAAAACAAGACGUUUGUUUGGUACAUUAAAGCAUGGAAUAAUAAGAUAGGACCUGGUUACUAUUUUGUUGGUUUGCAUAGCUAGGUAAUGAUUAACAGGGACAGUUGGGGGUAUUCGUAUUUAAUUGUCAGAGGUGAAAUUCUUGGAUUUAUGAAAGACGAACGACUGCGAAAGCAUUUACCAAGGAUGUUUUCAUUAA